rnacentral:rRNA from 1 species
AAAGAGCUCGUAGGUCGUUUGUUACGUCGGAUGUGAAAACCUGAGGCUCAACCUCAGGCCUGCAUUCGAUACGGGCAAACUAGAGUUUGGUAGGGGAGACUGGAAUUCCUGGUGUAGCGGUGGAAUGCGCAGAUAUCAGGAGGAACACCAAUGGCGAAGGCAGGUCUCUGGGCCAAUACUGACACUGAGGAGCGAAAGUCUGGGGAGCGAACAGGAUUAGAUACCCCGGU